UGGAACAACUAGUGGAUGAAGGUUUG
rnacentral:piRNA from 1 species